rnacentral:rRNA from 1 species
UUGCGUAGGUGGCAUUGUAAGUCGGUAGUGAAAGCGUGGGGCUCAACCCCAUAUCCAUUAUUGAAACUGCAAAGCUAGAGGACAAGAGAGGUCACUGGAAUUCCCUGUGUAGGAGUGAAAUCCGUAGAUAUAGGGAGGAACACCGAUGGCGUAGGCAGGUGACUGGCUUGUUCCUGACACUAAGGCACGAAAGCGUGGGUAGGCAAACG